rnacentral:rRNA from 1 species
CGGCGGACGGGUGAGUAACGCGUGGGUAACCUACCCUGUACACACGGAUAACAUACCGAAAGGUAUGCUAAUACGGGAUAAUAUAUUUGAGAGGCAUCUCCUGAAUAUCAAAGGUGAGCCAGUACAGGAUGGACCCGCGUCUGGUUAGCUAGUUGGUAAGGUAACGGCUUACCAAGGCGACGAUCAGUAGCCGACCUGAGAGGGUGAUCGGCCACAUUGGAACUGAGACACGGUCCAA